rnacentral:rRNA from 1 species
GACGAACGCUGGCGGCGUGCUUAAUACAUGCAAGUCGAGCGAGGUUACUGUUUUGGAUCCCUUCGGGGUGAAGAAGCUUUAACCUAGCGGCGGACGGGUGAGUAACGCGUGGGUAACCUACCCCAAAGUCCGGGAUAACAGCGGGAAACCGCUGCUAAUACCGGAUGCCUUUACCUUGGGGCAUCUUGAGGUAAAGAAAGGCAACGCUUUGGGAUGGGCCCGCGUCCCAUUAGCUAGUUGGUGAGGUAACGGCUCACCAAGGCGACGAUGGGUAGCCGGCCUGAGAGGGUGGACGGCCACACUGGGACUGAGACACGGCCCAGACUCCUACGGGAGGCAGCAGUAGGGAAUAUUGCGCAAUGGACGGAAGUCUGACGCAGCGACGCCGCGUGAGCGAUGAAGGUCUUCGGAUCGUAAAGCUCUGUCCUUGGGGAAGAAGGCGAAAGCUUGACGGUACCCAAGAAGAAAGCCCCGGCUAACUACGUG